rnacentral:lncRNA from 1 species
CAAAUGAAUAUAGUUUUGGAUAUGGAUAUCAAAAAUAAAAAUCCGACGGAUUUGAAUUCAGAUAUGGAUUUUAAUUGCAUCAUCCCAGCUCGAAACUAAGUGGAACUUGAAUUUAUUACGUUAUAUAUAUGCGUGUGUGUGUGUGUGUGUGUGUGUGAGAGAGAGAGAGAGAGAGAGAGAGAGAGAUGUUAUAUUUGAAUAUAUAUUUUAAAAUUUUAGAUUUAAUUUAAUAUAUUUUAAAAUAUUGUAAAGAAAAAUAAAUAUUUCGGGUUUGGAUUUUUGGGUUCAGGCAAGUGUUCGGGUUUUGGAUUUUUAGUCAGGUAUAGGUGUGGAUAUGAUUUUCUAAAAUUCAUCGAAUUUGGAUUCGGAUUCGAAUUUUUGAAAAUCCGCCCCGAAUCCUACCCUUUUACAUCUCUACGAUGGAUGAAGAUGAAAGAUAGAGAGAGAAAAAGGAAACACAGAGUAGCGUUUGGUUCGGGAACAGAGGGAAUAAGCCCUUGUUCCCCCCUUUGUUCCCAAACGUAGCGUUCGUAGCAUUUGGUUUCCGGGAACAGUAGUUCCUGGGUUCCUGGAAUAAGCUGGUAUAAAACUAGAACUGAUGUUCUACCAUUUUCCUGGAACAAGCUUGUUCCCGGAUGAGAACAAGCUUAAUUAAUGCCUAAAUUUAAUUUUAAUGACAGUAAAUCAUUAAUUAAUCUAAUAAAUAUAUUUAAAUUAUUAUUUAUUGCUUAAAUAAUAAAAUAAUUAAUUAAUUUUUUAUUUAUAAUUAAUUAUUAAUAAAUAGAUAAUUAUUAUUAUUAUUUUAUUAUUUAUAAUUAAUUAUUAAUAAUUAUUCUUAAUAAUUAGAUUAGGGAUAUUAUUAUUAAUUUAUUAUUUAUAAUGAAUUAUUAUUAAGUUUUAUUAAUAAUGAUUAUUUAUUAAUAAUUAAUAAUAAUUAUUAUUAUUAAUAAUCAGAUAAUCCAUAUUAUUAUUAAUUAAUAAUUAUUAAUAAUUAUU